UGUGGGGGGGUGAGUGAAACACAAUGAGUAAUGGGCCACACCUGGUGUCGGCCAUUUUGGCAGUGACAAGGCAAAUCAAACUUCACGUCAAAGAAAUGCUUCUCACAGCCAAAAGAUUUGAGAUAAUUACUAAAAAUUAGCGGGUCGAGGCUUUGGGCAACGUAUGCAUGUGCUUUGAAAAAUGGCCGCAAGAGAGUGACGUAAAAAAAAGUGGAAAUUAGAGAUUUUUUUUUUACCAAAAAUGAAGACACUUUUAACAUGGAUGACAAUGAGAUUUGGCUUUGUUUCCUCACUUCAAGUGGCAACAGAAGUAAAAUGUCACACAUCUGAUAUGCUAGUAAGAUUGUCUUUUCAGCUCCAAAGAGGCCACUUCCUGUUCUGGUGACCUGUGACACAAACCGCACAAGGCGACUGUGUGUCCCCGGUCUCCAGGGGACCAGCAUCACCACAGUAAUGGUUACUGGAAUGUGGAAAUACUGGAUGGGCCUAUAUUAUUAUUUGGCAGCAAACACAGCACCUAGACGCUAAAAGAUUCAGGAGGUCGAAGGUCAUCUCUGCCACAUCAAAGGCCACCUGCUCAUGCGCCGCUGAUUCAGCGAAAGCUUCCUGGCUCCCCGAUUGGCCGGUGGCGUUCUUCAGCUCUUCCAGCUUGGAGAAGAUGACUCUGGAUCGUUGCUCCUCCGAGACGGGGUCGGCCCAACGGUACGCCGGCAGAGCGGGUGAGUGCAGGAGGAAGUACGCCGAUGACAUGUACACUUUGAAGAACUCCUGCUUCAAGUAGGCCUCGUCUCGCUGCGAUAGGUGGAGACAGUGCAGCUCUUCAGAAUCAGCAUCCUCCUCAUCCUCUUCAGACUCCUCAUCCUCCUCUUCUUCUUCGUCAUCGUCGUCCUUGUCUUUGUUGCUGAUACUGAAACCAAUCUGUAGUUGACACAUACGUAUUAGGUACACCUACAUAGAGACCAAAACGAGCUGCGCUGCAUCUAAUACAGUACAUAGCAUAUAAGGUUUGGAUUUACUGUAUUUUGUUUAACUGAUUUAGCAACGUGAUGGUCAAAAUAUUAGGAACAGCUCUCAGUACGAUGCAGUAGAGUUGUUGCAGUCUAAGACACUGUAGUAGCGUGUAUUGUGUUGUGUUUUCGUACCUUCAGGUAGGUUCUCGGCACCACUCCUCUGUUGCCUUUAGUGUUCUCAGCCAGCCACCAUCCAUCGCUCGUCUUCCGAAUGAUAUUCAGUUUGUCCCCCUUCUAUACGUAGAAAGAACAGAGAAACUAAAGUCAAACAGUAGGACUGACGUGUAAUGGUUUGUAGAGCGAUACCAGCACCUGAUGGUGUUUUAUCGGCACUGCUGAAAUAGUGAUGAUAUUCAACUUAUGACACAAAAAGACAAAGAAAAAUGAAAACACUCUGAGUUCAUCCAUGUGGUGCUCACCUGAACAGACAGAUCUCCUUCCUGGUCCCCUUUAAAAUCACUCAGCGCCGUGUAUAUGCAAGGCUGCGACGGAGGUAGCGAUUUGGGAGCUUGACGCUCAUCUCCACAACAUUUGCUCCGGACAUCUUCAUCGCUGUCGUCGUCGUCAUCGGUGUCUUCAAGGCUUUUCUCGCUGACCUUGUCACUGUGGAUGAAUCAAAGCCAUUUUUAUUGACUUGAGUGACACUGCCUCUAAUGUGAUGCUUCUCAGUCAAGCUGACAGACCCUCCCGAUGACUCUGAGCUAGGUCCUGGUGGCGACAACUCCUGGGAGAGAUGCUUCAUCUGCUCCAGGAUGUUGUGCAGUCGUCCUUCCUCUUCCAGUUUCCUCUGAUCGUAGUUUCCUACUGGAGCCAGCUCAUCGGCCUGAAAGUAACACCCAAUUCAUUUAGGCACACAUACUAGUCUAUACCAGAGCUCAUAUAACUCAGGGAAUUGGGCCAAUUGAGAGUCAAAGAAAGUGAAAUUUGAGUCAUUUUUUGUGAUGCAACUUAUUUCGAUAUUCAGAAUUUUUUUUUUCUGCAGCCCUUCCGCACACUAAAAGUUAGUGCUUAGUAGAAUAUCAUGUGCUUGGGAGUAAAAAUGACCCCGGAUGUCAUACCUUAGUCAGUUUAGUCAGAUUCAUGAGUGUCUUCUCUGCUGAUAUCUGAAGUUCUUGGCAUCUGUUUGGAAUAUGAGACUAAAUUUCAGACUCCGUAAUAACUACAAAUGAAAACACUGGUUGUAUAUUGUGUUGCUCUUACCUCCGAAAGGACUCUUCUUUACUGUCAGAUUUACUCUGAACAUCUUUCAACAGACUGUCCAACUAGGUACAAAGCACAAUCUUAAUACUAUUAUCAUCGGUGCCUUACCAAAAUGUGUACCUUCUACAACUACGGUAUAGCUAUAAAAGCAUUAUACUGUAUCAUUAAAACAAUGUUAUGUUGAGGCUAGCUUUUGACUGACAUGCUACAAUCCGUUGUCUUUGUCGUCACAAAAACGAUAACGUUUUCUAUCACAAACCUUUCUUCUAAUGUCGUCCACCUCUCUGUGGACCUGCUGAAGGGGCCCAGUUCGUUUCGGCAGGGGCAUUUUAUUCGCCCCUUGUUGUUGGUCAUCAGAAUGUUUGUUAGCAUGUAGCUCGUUAAGGCACGCUAGCGAAAUGAUGCUGCAUGUUCAUUGGUCUGCUGGUCGCCUGGCAACUAGGUUCUACUUCCGGGGUAGUGGUCAAACAAGAACUGUAUUGAUAUUGUAGCGUCGUUGUCGACGCUAUGGAAAUAACACGACUGUGGUUAAUAACAAGCUUUUUAUUGCAAAACAACAAUGGCUACUGUCGGCCGUAACCACGCCACGAAAACACAGCCAGCAACAGCAACUGUGCUUCU